GGCGGACGGGUGAGUAAUGUCUGGGAAACUGCCUGAUGGAGGGGGGAUAACUACUGGAAACGGUAGCUAAUACCGCAUAACGUCGCAAGACCAAAGAGGGGGACCUUCGGGCCUCUUGCCAUCAGAUGUGCCCAGAUGGGAUUAGCUAGUAGGUGGGGUAACGGCUCACCUAGGCGACGAUCCCUAGCUGGUCUGAGAGGAUGACCAGCCACACUGGAACUGGGACACGGUCCAGACUCCUACGGGAGGCAGCAUG
rnacentral:rRNA from 1 species